CACAGUUCAACUGCAGCAUUAACUCGUUAUCAUUAUCUGAGGAGAAGUUGUAAGCAGAAACAGCGACAUAAGCACCGUGUGUACAGAUGUGAUGAUUCCGUGUGCCAUGGGAUCACUGCACAUUGCAUAUGAUUUUGACCGGAGUACGCACAGAAAUCAGUGGUGCACUAUUCUAGAGAAAUUCAUAAAUGUACGCAAAUGCUUUUGCAUCUUGGCACUGAGCCAGAAAAAAGAUAUCGUCAGUUGAAUUCAAGGAAGAAGUUGCGCAGCAAUUGAGCUACAUGGGAUGCAAGGUUUCCAAAAAUGAAUUUGUUUUCCGGGUUUGACUGACAUAAUACAAACGAUGGUGACUUUGUGGACACGCUAUAUAACACUACAUAUCUUUGUAUAUAGUCGUAACACGAUUAGGGGCGAUUAAAUACAGCAUUAGUGGUAAGAUAACACCAGUUAACGAGAAACUGAAACAAGCCUUCUAAAUCAUUUUUUCGGACCAAUAAAUUUCAAUUUCAGAGAGCUUACACAUACCAUAAUUUCUGUAUCAAAACAAGACUCAUAACACACAAUCAAAGUAGCAUAACAGCGAAACACUAAAGUGAGUUUAAAUUACAACUAUUUUUAUAGCAGAAUAUGGAUGACAAAAUAAAACGAGACACAAAGUAUAAACACUAGUUUAGCAUGCAGCAAUAUUCAACAUACAUAGUAGGGUUUGAUGAGUCAACCACGCAAGUAUAUUAGAACGCAGCUUAAGGCUACAAGCGAUUGUAUAGCGCAAUAGAGGAGCGCGGACACAAAUAGCCCAGAUGCUUAUCACCAAGAAUUAUCAAAGUCAGAUUAAACAGGCCAGAGCAACUAGAGUUAACAGCAACCGCAUAUAUAGAGAGUGCAUAAGAGCAGAAACUUAAAACAGCAUAACCAUGCAGUGGAAGCGGCACGACAAAGGAAGAAAAUUCUAUCAUAUACACUUUUACAAAAUUUCACUUGUGAAUAACAGAAAAGGAAUGAUUAAACAAAGUCUCUAGCUUCUAACUGAUAGGCUAUGAUUAAUAUAUAAACUAUCAAAUACGGACGGCCGCAAACAGUUUUUGGCGAAUUUCUUCGGUUCACAGAAAUACAUGUCACCUUGAAUAUCAAGUGUAUAGAUACCGUUCGAAAUACAGACGUCAUUGUUCUCAAUCAAGUAAAAUUGUUCACGCGAAUAUAUAAAAUACCUUGUCACGUUUGAGAGCCGCACACCAUGUUGGCGAGUUGCCCCUUCAACACCCGUUCCCGUUGUCCGGGGCACGGACUCGAGAGACUUUCUCAGCCGCUAGAGAAGAAUCGAAUAUCGGAAGUGCGAGUCACGAUCUCGUUUUAAGCCCGAACAUUUCUAAAGUUCUGAUUUGUAACUUAAGUGUUGAAAUGCGACAUUAAUACAUGAAAAGUAAAGAUCUGACAAGCUGAUGUUGAGUUAGUCAUGCUAUAGUAGGUCGAUCGAGGAUUUAUGCGCAUUGAUUAGUUUAUUACCCUAUUGUUAUUCUGUUUGGAUUUUCUCAAAAUAAACGACCUGACGUGGUCGUGGCCUCUCCCUAAUCUCGCUCUCCAAAACAUUCAAUUAGUUAGUUUCAUUUAACACAGCUGAAUUUUGGUUUUAACUUUCAUAAUUUUGAUUGUAAGAGUAUUAAUAGACGUGACUCUAAUUGCCUAGACUCACGGUAAAUCAUCUAAUGCAAUUAUCCACUCAUUUAAGAACCCAACUAUUAAGGGCAAGAACUGUGUCACAUCUAGGGCAGUUUUAUUUUUAUACUCCAAACAAAAACUACAAAAAUGGAUAGUACUAAUCUGAAGCUAGGAUUUUAAAUACGGGCAGAUACGUAGAAUAAGCCAUGAUGUUACAUGUAAAAGCAUAAAUCUCCUAUCACAACACAACAAACCAACAACGCAAGCCUUACCACAAAUGCGGCUACAUGGAUCACAAAGGUAAGGAAACUCGUCGCCCGGUAAAGGAAGAACUCAAGCCAGCUUAUCACACCAACUGCGUCAAGUAGAUGUUAGAAAUAAGAAUCUUAAGUAAAAUGCCCCCACAAAAGACACCAUCAUGAACUCAAUCAACCCUGAUACCCAUCAGCAUGUUGAUCACAACCACUCAUCUAUAUCAAGAUUUCCCAUAAGCGCGAGAAAAAAGGCUGAACAGAGGCUAGGCAGAGACAGAUACCAGACAAGUGGAAGACAUACGGUACCGACUUCGCUAAGGAGUGGCCGGCAUACUCUUAAUCCAGGCUCGGCUUCCCCUCCCUCUCUCUCUGCUCGUUCUUCUCCCGUCGUGUGCGCUCUGGUUCUCUUGUCCGCUCUCUCUCUCUCAUCUCCCUCUUGCAUGCCCUAUCUUCCUCUCCUCUCUCUGCUCUUCUUUCCUACUCUCCUCGCCCUUCAAUACUCUUUACUCUCUCUUCUCUUUUCCUCUGUUAUCUCUGUCUCCUCCCAAAUGUAACUUUUUUUCUCAUCUCACUCCUCGUAUGUAAAACGAGUUUCUUUCAUGUAAUGUAAUGAUAAUAAGAAAGCAAGAGAAGUCAGUUCCAAAGGAGGACAACCUUGAAGAUGCUUGCUUGGAGAAGCUUAGAUCGUUGUUAGGUUAGCUUAGGUUCUCUCAUUGGCUUGGGAGAACAAUUGCGCUAGGGCCAUAACUGUUUCAUUAUGUAUGUAUGUAUGUUGAUGCAUGUGAAUGUAUGUUGAUGCAUGUGAGAGACGGUUUAUAUGAUAAACAAGCCGGUGAAUCAGAAAAAUUGCAAUUCCUAAAUUAAAUUUAAGUUACAUGCUUCCAAGUUUAAGCACUCACAUGCAAGACUAGUAAUGGAUAAUGUAGGUUUCGCCUACGCAGGUGCAUGUUCUAUAUAUUAUAAGGUGGCGAUGGGAUAAUUGUAAUAUCCAACUGUUAAAACAAUGGAUCAAACUUAACUAAACAAAUUAUGAGAAUAUUAUAUAUGUUUGCUUUCCAAGUUUAGCAAACUCAUCAAGACUGGUAUCGAAUAAUGUAGUGUUUCGCCUACGCGAGAUGCAUGUUUGUAUUAGUUAAGGUGCGAUGGGAUAAUUGUAUCUCCAACUGCUAAAAACGAUGAGUUAAACUUGAUUAUAAUUUCUUAUAUAUGUUUAGAAGCAAGAGUUAGGAAUAACCAUAUGAUGGAUUGGAAUAAGGAGUUAUUCACCCAAUUGAAAUUUUCGAGAGUUGUAGAGAUACAAUUGAAGGAGUUCCUACCUAAAUAACCUAGUUUUGUGUAAUCCGCCUACGCGGACUUAGAACGAAGUGAAAUAUGGAUCUCGACCCACUAGAAGAAAUCUUCCAACGGAUUCCGAAUCAAAUGAAUGAGGGUCAUUUGUUUUGAAGAAAGUGGGAGCAUAUUUAAUUAAAGGCCUAAUUGAAUAUGUCAAUGAUACUUAUAUUUUCAUUAAUCCCUUAUGUAAUUACCAUGACAGCUUACACAACUUAACCGUGUUCCAUCCAAAAGGUUGAAAGACACCAUAUGAAGAUAUGGAGUGGGUAAGAGACCACAUGUGUCUUACAUGAAGAUUUGGGGUUGCGAAGUUUAUGUGAAACGACAAAUUUCAACUAAGCUUAAGCCCAAAUCUGAACCAAUGCUUAUUUUGGGGGUAUCCAAAGAAACAAGAGGAAUAUUACUUCAACAAUCCUUCGGAGGGCAAAGUGUUUGUCGCUCGAACUGAAGUUUUCCUAGAAAAGGAUUUAAUUCCAAAGGAACCAGUGGGAGGAAAGUAGAGCUUGAAGAAUUUAAAGAAUCACAAGCAUCGAUACACCUAUGGAGGAAUAGAGCUGGAAACACAAGUAGGUUGUGUAAGAGCAACCUGCUCAAGAUAAACAAGACCAACGUAGGUCAGGCAGGAUACAUCACCUACCUGAGUAUAUGGAUAUGAUCAAAGGUGAUGUAUUACUCAUGGAUCAAGAUGAGCCUGUGACCUACUCAUGGAAUCGUUCGCCUUGAGAAAUAGUAAACUGUAUGGAUUCAUCAAGAACGAAGAUGAGCCUUGUGUCUACAAGAAGGUUAGUGGGAGCAUGAUCGUAUUCCUGGUAUUAUAUGUAGAUGACAUAUUACUCAUUGGAUCGAUAUCCCUACCCUGUAACAAGUAAAGUCUUGGUUGGGGAAAUGCUUUUCUAUGAAGGACCUGGUGAAGUAGCCUAACAGAAAUCUAUAGAGAUAGAUCAUGAAAUGCUUGGCCUAAGUCAGAGUACAUAGACAAAGUGCUGAGACGCUUUAAUAUGAAUGAUUCCAAUCUGGUUAUGUGUUUUGCUUAAAUGGUGGCACUGUGAACUUGAAAAGUUCAACGCAAGAUGCAGUUGUUGAUUCUACAACCGAGGCCGAGCAUAUUGCUGCCUUAAGUGCAGCAAAGGAAGCUGUUUGGAUCAAUAAACUUGGCAUAGUCCCUAGCAUUGUGGAUCCCAUUCGUUUUUCGUUCUUUUUAUUUUUUAUUUUUUUUAAACACGUGGGCUUCGCCUAGCGAGCAUGACAGUUCAAGAAAUUCCUCUGAGCGUAGGUGAUUCUGGUGGCUUUUCUUGGGACUCGCUAGGCAAUCCAUUCUGCUCGCCUAGCGAGCAUGACAGCUCAUGAACAAACUUUUGUUUCUUCAAGAUUAACGUUUUGACUGACGAAUAGACCCCAUUUGAACCUGUUGGAAGUAUCUCAAGUCAUUCCCUUGUGUUGACUGAUCAUCUAAAUAGAACCCACAAAAUGUCUUGGAUGAUACUCAAGCUUCAAACAAAAGAUAUUAGUGACACAUUUUUGUGCUUUUGGUUAGUAAACAAAAGUAAGAGAAACAAUGAUGUAUAAUUCAAGCAUGCUUGGUGAUCUCAAACCAAUCACAAGGAGUCCCACCCAAAGGCAAAGGGAACCAAGAUGCUAAAGAUCCUUGAGGCAAUGCAAAUGCAAUGUUAUGAUGCCAUGAGGGACCUUAGGGUCAAAAUUGGGGUCUUACACUUGGAUGACCACUUAGCUCACCAACCAAUUGAAGAUUAUAAGUCAGUGCAGUAUGACUUUCCUGAUGAAGAGAUUUUGUACCUGGAAAUGAAAGAUUGUGAUGAACCAUUGCUUGAAGAAGGGCCAGAACCUGGUUCCCGUUGGGGUAUGGUAUUUGAUUGAGCUGUUAAUCAGUAUGGUAAUGGCAUUGGGGUAGUGACUAUUACUCCUCAAGGCACUCAUUUUCCGUUUACAUCCAGAUUGACUUUCAAGUGUACAAAUAAUACGGCUAAGUAUGAAGCUUGCAUUAUGGGGCUUGAAGAGGCCAUUGAUCUCAGAAAUCAAGUAUUUGGACGUCUAUGGAGUUUCAGCUUUGGUUGUGAAGCAGAUCAAAGGUGAAUGGGAUACGAAUCAACCCGGUUUGAUACCAUAUAUAUAUUACGCGAGGAGGAUUUCAACUUUCUUUACAAAGGUUGAGUUUCAUCGCAUCCCUCGAGAUGAAAACUGAAUGGCAGAUGCUCUUGCAACGUUGACUUCAAUGAAUGUGGUGAAGUUUUGGAAUGAAGUUCCUAAUUUGACUGUGAUGCGUCUUGAUAGGCCAACUAUGUGUUUGCUAUUGAAGAGGUCAAAGAUGAAAAGCCAUGGUAUUUUGAUAUCAAGUGUUUCCUCCAAAGUCAGAUUUACCCGCUUGGGGCAUCUUUAAAAGAUAAGAAGACUUUGAGAAGGUUAGCUGGCAACUUUUACCUGAAUGGUGAUGUGCUUUACAAGAUAAACUUUGAUAUGGUUCUGCUCAUAUGCAUGGAUAGACACGAAGCAGACUUGUUAAGGACUGAAGUCCAUGAAGGUUCAUUUAGUACUCAUUCCAAUGGACAUGCUAUGGCUAAGAAGAUGUUGAGAGAAGGUUACUAGUGGCUGACAAUUGAAUUUGACUGCUGCAAGUUUGUGAAGAAUGCCACAAGUGUCAAAUUUAUGCGAAUAAGAUUCAUGUUCCCCCGACACUGUUGAACGUCAUUUCCUCCCCAUGGCCAUUAUCCAUGUGGGGAAUUGAUAUGAUUGACAUGAUUGAGCCCAAAACUUUGAACGAACAUCGUUUCAUUUUGGUGGCUAUUGACUACUUCACAAAGUGGGUUGAAGCGGCAUUGUAUGCGAAUGUAACCAAGCAAGUUGUUGUGAGGUUUAUCAAGAAUCAGAUCAUAUGUCGUUAUGGUGUGCCAAGUAAGAUCAUUACUGAUAAUGGAUCUAAAUUGAACAAUAAUAUGGUGGAAGCUCUUUGCAAAGACUAUAAGAUUGCACAUCAUAAUUCUUCUCCCUACAGACCUAAGAUGAAUGGGGUUGUUGAAGCUGCAAACAAGAACAUAAAGAAGAUCAUUUAGAAUAUGGUUGUAACGUACAAGGAUUGGCAUGAGAUGUUCCCAUUUGCUUUGCACGGGUAUCGUACAUCCAUCUGAACAUCAGCAGGGGCAACCCCUUUCUCACUUGUUUAUGGCAUGGAGGUUAUGCUCCUGGUAGAGGUUGAGAUCCCAUCAUUGCGUGUCUUGAUGGAAGCCAAGUUGACUAAGGUUGAAUGGUGUCAGACCAAGUUCGUUCAGUUGAAUUUGAUUAAAGAGAAGAGGUUAACUGCCAUGUGUCAUGGUCAGUUAUACUAGAAAAGGAUGAAUAAAGCAUUUGAUAAGAAGGCCAGAGCUUGUGUGUUCAGAGAAGGUGACCUUGUGCUCAAGAAGAUUUUAUCUUUCAAACCGGAUUCUAGGGGCAAAUGGACUCCUAAUUAUGAAGGCCCAUAUGUUGUUAAGAGAGCCUUUUCAGAGUGCUUUGAUUCUUAUAACUAUGGAUGGUGAAGAGUUCACUCGUCCUGUGAACGCCGAUGCAGUCAAGAAAUACUUCGCCUAAAAAGAAAAGAAUAGCUCGCUAAGUUGAAAACCCGAGAGGGCGACUUAGGAAAAAAUAAACCUCUCAGUGGAUUGAAAAUCCGAAAGGGAGAUCCAGGCAAAAGUUAGAGACAUAAAACAGAAAAUUUAUCCCGAUAAGUUGAGUACCCCACCUUGGGGAAAUUUAUGCAAAAGUUAGGGAUUAUGGAAAGUAACUGCAUCCUGUUGAUCUUCAGUCUUGAAGACACUCUUGAGCACAACCUUUUGUUCUGAUUCGUUUUCAACCGAAUCCAAGAGCAUAACAAAUAUUGAAGGCGGUAGAAGGAUUAGUGAUUAUUAUAUUUGUAAGACCCUAAUUUUGACCCUAAGAUCCCUCAUGGCAUCAUGUUAUUGCACAAGUGCAUUGCCUCAAGGAUCAUAGCCUGUUUGAUUCCUUAACCCUAAGGGUGGGACUUAUUUAAGUGUUUUGAAACCACCAAGCAUGCUUGUAUUGUAUAUUAUUUCUUUUCUUAUUUUAUUACCAACCAAAAGCACGAAAAUAGGUCACUAACUCUUUUUGUUUUGAAGCUCAAGUGAUCAUGUGUUCCAAUGCUCUUAGGAGGCUCCUAAGCCCAAUGAAAUGGCCAGAUGAAAAUGAGGAAAAGCAUGAAAAUGGUCCCCAAAGAUCCAAAUCAUCAUAUAUGCCUCCCAAGUAUCUCAAUUUUCCAAUUUUAUCAAGAUAACCCAAAGGGCUUGAGGAUUGUUUCCCAAGGAAACCCUAAUUUCACUAUGCUUUGACUGUACCUUGCCCAUGAAGCAAUCUCAACCUCUGAUCAAAUUUAAUCAAAGGAAGUUCUUUCAUUCAUCCUUUUAUGCAUAUAUGAGCCUAUUGGAGGCCCCUCAAUCAUUUAUUCAUCAAGAUUGGAAGUUUGGCCUUGAAAAGUUGAUCAGUCAAAGUCAUCUGACUAAACUGAGGUCUAUUGAGAUACAACUUUUGAUGUGUUUGUCAAAUAAAGAUGACCCCAAGAUAAAAAAUAUUAUUAAGAACCAUAUGAAAAACUUUCAUGUUCAUAAAAAAUACAUUUAAAACUUGGAAGGUCAUCAUUCAUUUCAAAACAUUAUAGGUCAUUUUGACUGAAACCCUAAUUUUGGGUCAACUUAUCAAAGGCAUAACUUCCUUAAUUUGUAUGAUUUUUAGGUGAGAACAAAUGCAUUGGAAAUAUUGAGGUGUCUAAUUCAAAUGUUAUGUUGGAUAAAAUUUCAUAAUCCUAAAAUAAAUACAUUUGAUAAAACAAAACAUUAUAGGUCAUAUUGGACCUAAUUCAUUGAAUUUGAAAAAGUACCCAACUUCAAAUGCCCAUAACUUUGUCAUAGAAAAUCCAAAUGAUGAAAACUUUGAUUCCAAAUUUAUCAUAUUGAAAAUAUCUACAAAUUUGAUGUUGUAGGUUUUUCCAUUUGAAGCUUUCAUCAUGAAACUAGAGGGGUUUGAUUAGGCUUGCUUUUGGUGAAAAUUUUCAAAUGUGACUUAAACAUGUUUUGUACUUGGAUUUUCCAGGCCAGUUUUCAUUAAUUUCCAAAUGCCAAAUGAAUUUUUUCCCAACAUGAUUUUUGUUCCUUAUUUCAAGGGCUUUGCAACCCUUACUCACAAUGCUCAUUUGGACUUACCAUUUGGGAUUUUCGAAGACCUUUCCAUUUAUGUACAUUUUGGUAUUUCAUGUUAUAACUUGGUAUGCAAGCUGAUUCCAUUUCAAAUGCAUGUCCAAAUCAUUUACAUGUGAUCCCAGCAAUAUAUUUCAUCCAUCAUUGGGCCUGUUACACGCUUGAACAGGCCCAUGCAAGCAAAUUUCAAAUGCCAUGCACAUGAAAGAAACGUGGGAUUCAGCUACCUUGAGCUAUAAAUAAAGGUUCCCUCUCAUUCAUUUGGCAACCUUUUGGAGAUCUGAAUUGCUGCAGCAUUGAAACCAUAGCCAUACCAAAGGAAUUUGAAUAAAAAUUUAUCUCACUUUCGAGCUUGAAAUUCAGCAUCAUUAGCUGAUCUUCAAAGCUUAAUUCCUUAACCUUUCACUUCCACUACAUCCCUAGAGCAAAGAGGAGUCAAGAUCUUGAAGAAAUCGUGGCCUGAAGGUCUUCAAUUCAGAGGUAUACAUUUAAACUUUUUGGAUCUAGAACUCUCAUUUCAAUGUAGCAUUCUUGUGUUUGUAUGGUUUUUUGAAGUCCUCACACUUGAGGCAAGCUUGUGAUGCUUUCAAUUUUCCAUUUCAUGAACUUUCAGUUUGAACACCAUGAUCUUCCACUUCACAUUUCUCUCAAUAUAGGAAGAGUGAGGAAGAUCCAUGGAUACAGUGGUGAUCUCCAUCACACGAGCUUCAUUUCCAUGGCUUUGUUUUUUAUUUUUAUUAAAUUUCAUUGUCCUGCAACUGGUGGCCGGAGGUUGUUGUUCCGCCAGAGAAGAUGGUGGUUUCCACCAUCAUCACCACGUGUGCACCUUCACAGCCCUUGGAUCUGGUUUUCACGUUUUAAUCGUGUGCAUCCAUUGUGUUUACUUCAUUUAAUACCUUAUGUGGCGCGUUUGACUUGGAUGUAGCGUGUUCCCCAUGAUCUGAACCAUUCAGCCUUGCCACAUCAAUUAAUGAAUCCAUCCUGUGGCGCUGGUUUUUUCCAUUAUUUCUAUUUUCAUUUUAUUUUCAGUUAAUUCCUUUUAUUUUCAAAAAUUCAUAAAAAAAUUCAUUUGAAGUCAUAAAAAUAUGAGACCAAUUCCAAAAAAUUUCUUGAAAAAUCUAGUUUCAUAUUUUAAUUUUUAUUUAUUUUUGUGACUUCAUUUGAUAUUUUUCAUGAAUUAUUUGAUUUUUAAUAGUUUUAAUUCAUUUUAAAAUACUUUCUGACUUUUGAAAAAUCCAAAAAUAUUUUCCUAGCAUUUAUAGAUCAUGAUAAAUCAAUGAAAAAUAGUCUCAUCAAUUUCUUAUUUGAUUUGAGAUUUAUUUGAGAUUUUAGUCCAUUUUAUGCUAUUUUUAAUUGUUUUUAAUUGUUUUUAAAUACUUUCUGGUUUCAAAAAUUUGUGAGAAAAUUAGUCAAAGUUUGUUUGACCAUGUUGGACCUAUGAGAAUUUAAUUAGACUUAUUAAAGUUGAUUUGAAUUGAAUUUGAGGUUUGACCUUAUUUGUUUAUUUUUUAUUUGCAUUUUAUUUUAAUUCAUAAAAUACCAAAAAAAUAUUGUUGACUUGUAAUCUUCAUUUCUUUUCUGUUUGGUGUUGAUUGAUGUUGGUUUGAUCCACAUUUGAUCAAUUGGAAUUGAUUGAUGUAUUCUUUUCCCCUCCCUUUCAUCUUCAUCCCAUUUUUUCCAUCAAUGGCCAAUGAGUUAAGUUCUUAUGGUUGGUCUUGACAAAUGAGAGGUUUAACCUUCUUUGAUCCAAACCAAACUCAACUUGAUCCAUGAUCAAGUGAGUUGUUUUGUGUCCAAGAUAACUUUGCUCACUUGAGCACAUAUUUUAUGUUUAUGUCAUUUUUCUUUUGCUCAUUUGAGCUCAUUAUUGUAUAUAAAUAUAUUGCUAUCUUGUGUUUGCUUUGUGUUUGUUUUGUGUGAACCAAAUGCUAAAGGAGAAAGGACUUAGAAUUAGGACUUACCUAUGCUUAAAGGAGUUCAAGAGCAACUAGGCCUCAUGCCUUUAGAAUGCUAAAUUGGUUGAAGAGCAACUAGGCCUCAUGCCUUUAGAAUGCUAAAAUUCCAAGUUGAUCUCAAAAGGACUUCUCUUCCAAACUUAUUCUUUGUCCAUUCCCCUUAUUGUGUUGUGAACUUUUUGAUGUUUGCUUGUGUGUGAUAGGGAUCCCACUUUGAGAUUGUGAAAAAAGGACCAUUGUCAUGAGUAGCCAAGUUAAGAGACAAGCCAAAUGGAGAUCCUAGGAGCUUGAAUGCAAAUUAUUGAUUGCUUGUUUGUGUGCUAAGUCCAAAGGAAAGGAGCAUCUUGAAUCAUCUCUAUGAUUCCAAGAAAAGGAACUCCAAGGGUUUAUCCUUCCCUCUCUUAUCUUUGUAUGCUUUAUGACUAGCCCUUCUCUUCUUCUCUCCAUUCUAACCAAGCCAAAAUCUUUUUCUUGAAACUUUGACUUUGUUUCAAAUUAGAAACCUAGGCCUUAAGCCUUUGACUUUUCAAAACCAUUUUCAUCAAUACUCAUUGUGAAUAAAUCUUAAUCCAACUUUGACUUCAUUUUGUAAAUAAAUCUAAAGGCCUUAAGCCUUUGACUUUUCAAAACCAUUUUCAUCAAUACUCAUUGUGAAUAAAUCUUAAUCCAACUUUGACUUCAUUUUGUAAAUAAAUCUAACUUGUAAAUAUAACCCAUUUCAAGUUGUUUUGUGGUUCCAAUGGCCACUUGUUAAAACUUUUCAUAAACAUUAGUCAUAGGUUUGAGUUAUCGUAGUGGUUGAUGUAAAUCUCACCUCAUCCUUAGUGAUUGGAUUAUAAGUCUUCCAUGCUUAUUAUAGGGUUAACCACUCACUAGCAUGUUGAAGCCUUACCCACAUGGUGGAUUGUUGGUUUAGGUUGAGUUUUCUCCCUUUGAUGACAAAAGACCUUAAGGCUUUUGAUCAAAUCAAUUCACCAAUCUUUGAGAUUUUUACCCCGAACUACGAGGUUUUGAUCCUCCUUUGUGAUGGUACGUAAGCAAUGGGUUCAUCCAUUCAAACAACAAAUUUGUAAAUAUAAUCUAUUCUCUUCUCAUCCCCCCAAUCUUUUGGUACAAAUAUUUUCACAAAUACCAACCUACAACACAUAUUUGCAAAAAGGGUUCCCUUAGAAUACUAAGGAUGUUUUGGGUGCGUAAAACCUUCCCAUUUCAUAGCCAACCCCCUUACCCAGAUCUCUGACAUUUUUAUUAGUUUUUUAUUUGAAAAACUUCUUACCUAGGCUUUUGUUCGCUUUUUAGCCUUUCCUUUGGACAAAUAAAAGUGCGGUGGCGACUCGAAUUAUAUGUUUACUUUUGGUUUAGUCAAUAAACCUAAAGGUAACAAAAACCCUGCUACAGAAAAGUGGCGACUCUGCUGGGGAAAGAAAUUCUCUAGUGGGUUUUGCCUACUUUUUGCUUAUGUGUGUUGUAUGUUUAUAUUUAUUUAUGGCAUAUUUUUAUGCAAAUUUGGGAUGAAUGUAUUGUUUGUAAUGUAUGAAUUGCUUGAUAUGUUAAUUGCUUGUAUGCUUGGUGGUUUCUUGUGAGAUGAGUUCUAUACCCGAACUUGAGUGCACUUAUGAUAGGAGAAUGGCAUAAUCUUGUUGACUUGUGUGGAGUUAUUCCUUAACAAGUUAACUUGCAAGCCCAUUCACUUGGUGGAGGUCUUGUUGGGAUCAAUAAUGUCACACGAGUAGUCGUGGUUAGGCAUUACUCUUUCCAAUAGGAACCAAACCUUAGAAACCAAGGACCUUAGAUACCUAGCCCAUCUUGGCCUAUUUUAGGACGUAGUGCGAAGGUCGUUCAAGUGUAAGACUUGAGGCGAUUGUUACGCGAUACUACACUCAUAAGAGUUCCUCGUUUUAUCCGAUAAUAUCCGAAAUAUGGGAUGAUGCCUAUGGGAACCUUUUUAGAACAUGAUUGUUAGGUUUAACCAUAGUACACUCCCGUAACCUUUGUAUGGUGUGACUUGCUUGAUCCUUGAGUGUGUUUGUUGCAUCCAUGCAUUCAUGCAUUACUUCGCAUUCAUGUCAUCAACAAUAAAGAUUUUUCAAGGAACAUAAGAGGUCUAUUUGCAAAUUUUCAGACAUGGAUAAGCAAAGAAGGAAUACGAAGAAGUACAGUUUCAGACAACCCGACUUGAAAGAGUUAAGGAGUUUGGCAUCUUAUGUAUUAGAGCCCUUAGAAUUUAAAGCUCGCCAUGGGAAGCUUCUAUCUAUUCUUUCUACUAAAGUGGAUGAGGGUCUGAUGAGUGUGUUGGUGCAGUUCUACGAUCCUCUGUAUCGAUGCUUCACUUUUCUGGAUUUCCAGCUUUUGCCUACACUAGAGGAGUAUGCCUAUCAUGUGGGUAUACCUAUUCUGGACCAGUUGUCGUUCAGUGGUUUGGAAAAGAUUUCGUAUUCUCAAGAGAUUGCUGACAUGCUUCAUGUAGAUGUAUAUGACAUUGUUGCCAAUAUGACUACCAAAGGUGGAAUUCAAGGUCUCCUGUUUGAUUUUCUGAUUACCAAAGCUACUUUGUUUGGGAAGGCCAUGAGUAAGGAAGCUUUUGAAGCCAUAUUUGUAUUCCCCAUCUAUGGGCUAGUGUUAUUUCCCAACAUCGACAACUUUGUGGAUGUGAACGCUAUUAGGAUUUUCUCUUCUCUUAAUCCCGUUCUGACUCUGUUGGGUGACACUUAUUUCUCUUUGCAUAUGAGGAGGCUAGUGUUAUUUCCCAACAUCGACAACUUUGUGGAUGUGAACGCUAUUAGGAUUUUCUCUUCUCUUAAUCCCGUUCUGACUCUGUUGGGUGACACUUAUUUCUCUUUGCAUAUGAGGAAUGCAAAGGGUGGUGGUUCCGUUGUGUGUUGUCUGCCUCUGUUGUACAAGUGGUUUAUUUCGCACUUGCCUCAGACGCUUGCCUUCAAGGAGAACAAGGUAUGUCUACGGUGGUCCACGAGACUUAUGUCUCUCACUAAUGAUGAUAUCUCUUGGUACAAUCGUGUUUAUGAUGGCGUUCAGAUUAUUGACUCUUGUGGUGAGUUCUCCAAUGUACCUCUUCUUGGUACAUGUGGUGGAAUUAACUACAACCCUGCUUUGGCUCUUCGUCAGCUUGGGUUCUCCUUAAAGGAUAAACCUAACAACAUUUCAUUGGAAGGCUUGUUCUUUCAAGAGGGUAAAGAUCCCCAGAAUUUGAAGGAUAGGAUGGUCCGCGCCUGGCGCAAAGUUCAUAGGAAAGGGAGGAUUGAGCUUGGUCCGAAGAACUGUGUUGCUUUGGAACCUUACACCUCUUGGGUAAGGAAAGAGAGCUCUGGAGUAUCGCAUGUCGUACGAGUAUCCGAGACCUACCCCUAUGGUUAUGGUUGGGCCUUCAACCCUCCCUAAUCAAGUAGUAGAGGAGUUGAGAGAUGAAGAUCGGUCGUGGCAUAGAUUCGUGAGCGUGAGUAACUUCUUCAGCAGCUCAAGGAUAAGGAUGCAAUGAUAGAGUUUCUAGAAUAUCAGGUUAUUGAUGAGCCUGAUGAUGUAGUUACUUCUCUCCUUCCUCACUCGUAUAGGUUUUGGAAGAGGAAGUAUGAUCAGCUCGCCAAGGAGAAGGCACACAUAGAAGCAGCUUAUGAGAGAGAGGUGAAGAGGCUUCGUGCGAUUUAUCUUCCAAUCUCGAAGGCGUUGGACGAUUGCUUCUAGGGCUCCAUAGGAUGUUCAUUCUCCUUUUCUCUUGUAUUGUAUUUGGUUACCAAAACUGUACUACUUCUUUGGUGUAAAAAGUUUCCAAAUAUUAUUGCUAUGAGUAUUCCAUAUAUGUCUUAAAAGUUUAAUAUCUUUCAAACAUUUGCAAAUAGAUCCCUAUAAAGUUCCUCUGAUAAAAAACAAAUCAUGUGCACAAGCAUUACAUGCAUCAUAUGCAUAAGCAGGUUUUGUUCCGAGCUCUUGAUCAGUGGUCUAACUCUUUGCUCUUCAUUUAUUUUGAAGACAAACUGACGCACCAGUAUAACACCAGAUCAAAUCAUCAGAAGAUCAUGGAACACCUUGAACAAGAGAACAGAGAUUUGAAGGAAGAGAUUGCUAGACUGACUGCCAUGAUGGAGUCAGUCCUUGCUGCGUAAAGUCAAGCUUCACCAACUCCUGCAACUCCUCCCGCGAGGACAGUCAUCUCUGAAGUGGUAACCUCAACAGUUCCUGCUGCCACAGCCCACUUCGCUCCUAGUAUGCCAGCUGGAUUCCCUUGGGGAAUUCCAUCUAACUUCAUGCCAUAUGGUUUCUCUCCCACUCUUGCUUUUAUACCGGCAUCUAGCCCGGUCCUGUCUGUGCCUCCUCCCGUUGUGCACACUCUCCCGCGUGUAGAAGACACCAUUUAUCAUUCCGAGCCAUCUGAGGGUCCGGAUGUAUAUGAGAAAAUGGACGAAAUGAAAGAUCAAUUCCUUGAGCUGCGCAAGGAACUGAAGACUUUGAGAGGUAAGGACCUCUUUGGGAAGAGUGAUGCUAAGUUGUGCUUGGUACCCAACGUUAAAAUCCCGGUUAAAUUCAAAGUGCCUGACUUUGAGAAGUACAAGGGAAAUACAUGUCCACUCAGCCAUCUUGUGAUGUAUGCUCGCAAGAUGUCGACCCAAACCGACAAUGAUCAAUUGCUAAUUCACUACUUUCAGGAUAGCCUGACAGGUGUUGCGCUCCGAUGGUAUAUGAGGCUGGAGAGUGCAAGCAUCCGCACUUUCAACGAUCUUGGAGAGGCAUUUGUGAAGAAGUACAAAUAUAACAUGGACAUGGCUCCAUACAGGGAUCAGUUGAGGGAAAUGUCCCAGAAGGACAAGGAGAUCUUCAAGGAAUACGCCCAGAGGUGGCGAGAAUUGGCAGCCCAGAUAGUGCUACCCUUGGAGGAGAAGGAGAUGACAAAGAUCUUCUUGAAGACUUUGAGCUCUUUCUAUUACGAGUGCAUGAUUGCUAGUGCUCCCUCGGACUUCACCGAAAUGGUGAAUAUGGGGAUGAGGCUAGAAGAGGGGGUCCAUGAAGGACGUUUGUCUCGUGAUGAUGGUUCCUCAACAAAGAAAUAUGGAGGAUUUGCUAGGAAGAAGAAAGGGAAGACUCAUGAUGUUUCUUCCCAAUGUUAAGAGAAGGCCCUCUGUGAGGAGGAAAGAGGUCUGACCGACUGUUAACCAACACCAGGUUGCUCAUAUAGCACCUGCUUUCAGAGAAGUUCAACAACAACCAUAACAACAACAUCGUCAAUAACAACAGGCUUAUCAGCCUCGCAAUAAUAACAACACCAGCACCAACAACUAUAAGAGGAAGAGGGUGAAUUUUGACCCGAUUCCAAUGACGUAUGCUGAACUUUAUCCUUCCUUAAUCGAUAGGAAGCUGAUAACUCCUCGUGAUCCUCCUGCUGUGCCAGCCAAUCCCCAAUGGUGGUACAAGCCCGAACUUCACUGUGUGUAUCAUUCCGGUGCUCCCGGACAUGAUGUGGAGAAUUUUUUUCCUUUGAAGACCAAGGUGCAAGACCUUGUGAGGAGUGGGAUACUGUUCUUUGAGGACGUAAGCCCAAAUGUGAAGAAGAACCCAUUUCCCGAGCAUGGGAAGGCAGUUGUUAAUAUGGUUCAGGGGUGCCCUGGAAAAUAUAAAGUCCUUUAUAUGAAUGACAUAAGGCAAUCCUUGGUUGAGAUGCAUAAGUUGUUGUGUGAACACAGACAUUAUGAGCAUGAUCAUGAUAGGUGUCAGGUGUGCACUAUAAAUGAGAGAGGAUGUCGUCAAGUGAGAAGGGACAUCCAAGAGAUGCUAGAUCAAGGGAUGAUUGAGAUACUUCAUAAUCGUAAUAAGGAUGAAGUCGAUGUUAUUACUCCCAUAUUCAAAAUUCCUGAUCCUGUUGCCAUCAAGUACGAUGGCAGCAAGAAGAAAGUAUCGCCAACUCUUGUGAUCAAGCCAGCAGGUCCUAUCCCGUAUGUAUCAGAUAAAGCGGUCCCCUACCGUUAUAACACUGUUAUGCUAGAAGAUGGGAAGAAGGUGUGUUGCCCUCAACCUCUGUGGUAAGCAUUUCUGACGUUAGUGGAGUGACCCGUAGUGGUCGUGUUUUCUCGACUCAGCCGAAAUCCCACGAAGAUGUUGUGAAGAAAGACGUUGUUGGUCCUGCUGGUCCCAUGGGGACUUCUUCUUUAAAUCGGUCUAUUCCUGUUGUGAAGGGUGUUGACCUUUUUGUUGUUAAAUCCCAGAAUACUCCUAUCCUAGUUGGCCAGUCUGGCAUGUUGAGAGAGGAUGGUGAUGAGAUGUUGAGGCUCAUCAAGAGGAGUGAAUAUAAUGUUGUGGAUCAGUUGCUUCAAACUCCAUCAAAGAUAUAUGUCUUAUCUUUAUUGAUGAAUUCAGAGCCACACCGUGAAGCGUUGCAGAGGGUGUUGGACGUGGCAUGCGUGGAUCACGAUGUCAUAAUUGAGUAGUUUGAUAGCAUUGUUGCAAAUAUAACCGCUUGUAACAAUUUGAGCUUCUAUGAUGAUGAUCUUCCUGAGGAGGGAAAAGACCACAAUUUGGCUUUACAUAUCUCCAUGAACUGUAAAGAUGAUGCCCUAUCCAAUGUGUUGGUGGAUACAGGGUCAUCACUCAAUGUAUUGCCAAAAUCUACUCUUGCCAAACUUUCAUACCAGGGGCCUCCCAUGAGGCUGAGUGGAGUGGCAGUGAAGGCUUUUGAUGGAUCGCAUAAAACUGUGAUUGGUGAAUUAGACCUCCCGAUCAAGAUUGGACCUAGUGAUUUCUAGAUCACUUUUCAGGUUAUGGAUAUACAUCUGUCAUACAGUUGUUUGCUCGGUAGACCAUGGGUUCACGAGGCAGGCUCCAUGACAUCCACCCUGCACCAAAAGUUGAAGUUUGUUAAGAACAAAAAGUUGGUAGUGAUAGGGGGAGAGAAGGCUCUCUUGGUCAGCCAUUUAUCUUCCUUCUCCUAUAUUGAUGUUGAGGAUGAGGUCGGGACUCCGUUCCAAGCCUUAUCUAUUGUUGAGCCUUCUAGGAAAGGACUUUCUUCAUUUGUCUCCUAUAAUGAUGCGAAGUUGUCCAUUGGGCAUGGUGCAACUACUGGUUUGGGGAAAAUGAUCAAGUUGGAAGAUAACAAGUCCCGGGCUGGUAUAGGGUACUCUUUUGGUGUUUAUAAUGAUCUUGGGUUGUUCCAGAGUGGAGGUUUCAUCCACACCAUGGAAGAUCAGGAAGUAGCUGCCAUCGUUGAAGAUAAUGAAGAGGAAGACCUUGGCAACUUUGUCAUACCUGGAGGAAUCUGCAAUAAUUGGGUCGUUGUUGAUAUUCCAACAGUUAUCCAUAAGUCAACAUAAUGUGUUCAUUUUGUUUAAAAACCCUUCUCCCAUGCCAAAAGGAGAAGUGAAGACAUUGUUGGCAUAAUUGAUUAAUACAAUGAUAUUCAUUCAAUAAUCGCAUGUUAAAUGUUUGUUUCUCAAAUUAUUUUUCCUUUUCUUUUUGCAUGAAUUGCGUGAUCACCAUAAAACCCUAAAAAGAAAAAGAAAUAAAAGCAAUCUUUUCAUCUGCAUAAUAAUUGCCUUGUUUGAAUUCUAAAAUCUCUUUUAUACUCAAAAUCAUUAUGCAGGUUGAUCAAACCCAUUGAACAUAAUUGAUCCAACACCAUCUCCCAAAUUUGAGUUCCUGUAUUUGAGGCAGAAGAAGAUGAUGUUGAAGAGAUUCCUGAUGAGAUUACCCGUCUGCUUGAGCACGAGGAGAAGAUCAUUCAGCCACAUCUUGAGAAUCUGGAAACAAUCAACUUGGGGUCUGAAGACUGCAUUCAUGAAGUGAAGAUUGGGGCACUCCUGGAAGAGUCUGUUAAGAAGGGGUUGAUUGAGUUGCUACGAGAAUAUGUCGACGUCUUUGCCUAGUCGUAUGAAGACAUGCCUAGUCUAGAUACUAAUAUUGUGCAACAUUUCUUGUCGUUGAAGCCUGAGUGUGUGCCUGUAAAGCAAAAGCUCAAAAGAACUCAUCCUGAUAUGGCAGUGAAGAUUAAAGAAGAAGUUCAGAAGCAAAUUGAUGCGGGGUUUCUGGUGACUUCUACAUAUCCUCAAUGGAUGGCCAAUAUUGUGCCAGUGCCUAAGAAAGAUGGAAAAGUCCAAAUGUGUGUGGAUUACCAUGACUUGAAUAAGGCUAGUCCAAAAGAUGAUUUCCCUCUACCACACAUUGAUAUGUUAGUAGACAAUACGGCUAAAUUAAAUUUCUUUUCAUUUAUGGACGGAUUUUCCGGUUAUAAUCAGAUUAAAAUGGCACCCGAGGAUAUGGAGAAGACAACAUUCAUCACACCUUGGGGAACAUUCUGUUAUCCAGUGAUGCCCUUCGGUUUGAAGAACGCCGGAGCCACGUAUCAACGUGUUAUGACUACCUUAUUUCAUGAUAUGAUGCACAAAUAUAUUGAGGUGUAUGUUGAUGAUAUGAUUGCAAAGUCGAAAACGGAAGUUGAGCAUGUAGAACACUUGUUGAAGCUAUUCCAGCGUUUGAGGAAGUACAAACUCCGCUUGAAUCCGAACAAGUGUACAUUUGGAGUCCGUUCCGGCAAGUUAUUGGGCUUUCUUGUCAGUGAGAGAGGUAUGGAGGUUGAUCCUACCAAGGUCAAAGAAAUACAAGAGAUGCCUGCGCCCAAAACUGAGAAGCAAGUCCGAGGUUUUCUUGACCGCUUGAAUUACAUUUCGAGAUUUAUAUCCCACAUGACUGCCACAUGUGCGCCUAUAUUUAAGCUCCUCCGGAAAGAUCAGCGUCAUGAUUGGACCGAAGAUUGCCAAAAGGCCUUCGACAGUAUCAAAGAGUAUUUAUCUGAGCCUCCGAUUUUUUUAUCCCCUCCUGUUGAAGGGAGACCAUUGAUUAUGUAUUUGACCGUGCUUGAUGAUUCCAUGGGUUGUGUCCUUGGUCAGCAAGAUGAAUCAGGAAAGAAAGAAUACGCAAUAUACUACUUGAGUAAAAAGUUCACUGACUGUGAGUCUCGGUACUCAAUGCUUGAGAAGAUAUGUUGUGCUUUGGCUUGGGCCGUUAAGCGUUUACGCCAGUAUAUGUUGAAUCAUACUACUUGGUUGAUAUCCAAAAUGGAUUCAAUCAAGUAUAUCUUUGAGAAGCUUGCUUUAACUGGGAGGAUUGUCCGUUGGCAGAUGUUGUUAUCCGAGUAUGAUAUUGAGUAUCAAGCUCAAAAAGCUAUUAAAGGUAGUAUCUUGGAUGACCAUUUGGUGCAUCAACCAAUUGAAGAUUAUCAGUCUGUGCAAUAUAACUUCCCUGAUGAAGAGAUUCUGUAUUUGAAGAUGAAAGAUUGUGAUGAGCCUACACUCGAUGAAGGGCCAGAGCCUGGUUCCCGAUGGGGUAUGGUGUUCGAUGGUGUUGUCAAUCAGUAUGGAAAUGGUAUUGGGGAAGUGAUUAUUACUCCUCAAGGCACACAUUUUCCUUUUACAGCAAGGCUAACUUUCAAAUGCACGAAUAAUAUGGCGAAGUAUGAGGCUUGUAUUAUGGGUUUGGAAGAGUGUAUUGAUCUUAGGAUCAAAUAUCUUGAGAUUUAUGGUGAUUCGACCCUUGUUGUUAAUCAGAUUAAGGGUGAAUGGGAGACGAAUCAGCCUGGCCUCAUCCCAUAUAGAGAUUAUGCGAGGAGGAUUUCAACUUUCUUUACUAAAGUUGACUUUCAUCAUAUUCCUCAUGAUUGCCUGUCAUUAUUGCGAAUGAAGUUUUCCAAAUACUUAUUGUGAGACUAGAUAGACCAACUCACGUGUUUGCAGUGAGGAGUGAAAGAUGAUAAGCCGUGGUAUUAUGUAUCAAGUGUAUCUUCAAAGUCAGAACUUACCCGCUUGGGGCGUUAAAGAUAAGAAGACUUUGAGGAGAUUAUCUGGCAGUUUCUACCUUAAUGGUGAUGUGCUUUAUAAGAGGAAUUUUGACAUGGUUCUGCUCAGAUGCGUGGAUAGACACGAAGCAGACUUGUUGACGACUGAAGUCCAUGAGGGUUCAUUUGGUACUCAUUCCAAUGGACAUGUUAUGGCUAAGAAGAUGUUGAGAGCAGGCUACUAUUGGCUGACAAUGGAGUCUGACUGCUGCAAAUAUGAAGAAAUGACAUAAGUGUCAGAUUUAUGCGAAUAAGAUUCAUGUUCCCCCGACACUUUUGAAUGUUAUUUCCUCACCAUGGCCUUUCUCCAUGUGGGGAAUUGACAUGAUUGGCAUGAUUGAACCUAAGGGGUCGAACGGUCACCGUUUUAUUCUCGUAGCUAUUGAUUACUUCACCAAGUGGGUUGAAGCGGCAUCGUAUGCAAAUGUGACCAGGCAAGUGGUUGUAAAGUUUAUCAAGAACCAACUCAUAUGCCGAUAUGGUGUGCCGGACAAGAUCAUUACUGAUAAUGGGUCUAACUUGAACAAUAAGAUGAUGAAAGAGCUGUGUAGUGAGUUCAAGAUUGCACAUUAUAAUUCUUCUCCCUAUAGACCCAAGAUGAAUGAGGUUGUUGAAGCUGCUAACAAGAAUAUUAAGAAGAUUAUUCAGAAGAUGGUUGUUACAUACAAGGAUUGGCAUGAGAUGCUGCCAUUUUCUUUGCAUGGCUAUCGUACAUUUGUCCGCAGUUCAACAGGGGUAAGCCCUUUCUCUCUGGUUUAUGGCAUGGAGGUUGUGCUCUCCGUAGAGGUUGAGAUGCCAUCAAUGAGGGUCUUGGUGGAAGCCAAGUUGACUAAGGCUGAAAGGGUUCAGAGUCGUUAUGACCAGCUGAAUUUGAUUGAAGAAAAGAGAUUAACUGCCAUGUGCCAUGGUCAGUUGUAUCAACAAAGGAUGAAGAAAGCCUUUGAUAAAAAGGUCAAGCCUCGUGUGUUCCGAGAAGGUGACCUCGUGCUCAAGAAAGUCUUGUCUUUCGCGCCCGAUUCUAAGGGAAAGUGGACUCCAAACUAUGAAGGUCCAUAUGUUGUUAAGAGAGCCUUUUCAGGCGAUGCUUUAUUGCUUACAACUAUGGAUGGGGAGGAUUUCACUCGUCCUGUGAAUUCAGAUGUAGUCAAGAAAUACUUCGCCUAAAAAAUAAAAACAGAAUAACUCGCUAAGUUGAAAACCCGAAAGGGCAGCUUAGGCAAAAAUGAGCGUCUCGGUGGAUUGAAAACCCGAAAGGGAGGUCCAGGCAAAAGUUAGAGACAUAAAAAAAAAUGAAUAUAUAUCCCGCUAGAUUGAGUACCUCACCCUGGGGCAAUCUAGGCAAAAAUUAGGGAUUUGGCGAGUAACUGCAUCCUGACAAGACUUUGUUCUACAGCUGUCAUCUAUCAAAGAUUCUCACCCAGUCAUCAUCAACUGAAGUUUCGAAUACAGUGGAUUCAGAGUUGGUGGAGAAAUGGUCAUUAUGUUCAAUGUAGCCCUUUUUCCAUGUAUAUCACCAAUUUCAAAUUUGUAAAGAUUCAUGGACUCUCGCCAUUUGCGUACUACCAUUCUAUUAAAUAAAUUUGAGCCUUUAUCCAAUUCUUUGCACUUUUAUUUGUUUCUGUUUAACAAAUGUUUGCAUGUUUUAAUUGACGGAUAUCAUUGUUUUAAACAAAUAAAGUUUUCAUAAAUAAACUGUUUUAAACAAAGUGAACAUUCACAAGGACUGGAAAGAUGAGUGGAAUGUCCUCAGUGCUUUCCCAAGGAUGGUAUGAUUACCAAAGGGUAAAACAUUUGUUCAUAUUCUGGCAUUUUUUAUAUAUAUCCUCUUCAUCAGCUUUCAGUGGUCUCCCCAACGAGCAUGGAAAGAAUGAUACAGCUUCCCGGAGAGUCUGAUAUGAGAAGUCCUCCUUGAUGGCAGUAGCUAGAUCGGUCUUAUGGAUUGUUUUUCUCCUAGUAGAAUUUGUGGACGUUCAUCCAACGCAUUCCUGGAUAGUUUUUUUGUGCGUACAUACUUGUUUCCCCCGUGGAGUCUUAGCAAUCCAUGAUUGGUUAUAUGGUGGAUCCGUGGAUGAUCCCUUAUGUUCCAGUUCUUGCCUUAGAGACGUGUAUCCCUCUAUAUCAGGCACUAGCAUUUGCGUUUUAUCAAUUAUAUGGUUGUCAUCCUUUGUGUGGACUGACCUAAAAUCCCUUAUAGAUUGAUAAAAGUUGAUAUGCUAUUCUACUCACGAGGAGGUUUGCUUUCCCCAACAUGAGUAGAAGUCCCCAAUGAAGUAAACAUGUGUUCCUUGUGGAGCUCUUUCCAGAUAAUUGUCUCCUCAGCAGGAAGUUGCCUAGAGCAAUGGGUGAAGGGCUUGUAUUCCUUUUCAUCCCUAGCAUGUCGCUUGUUGACAGAGGAUUCAUUUCCAAUUUCCUCAGCCAGGGUAGUUCCGUCGAGAACAUUUGCAGCUUGUCCCUAGUAGGGUUUCCUGAUCCGAGCUUGAUGUUGGCAUCUUCUCCGGGUCUGAAGAUUUCUUCUAGCAUUGAGAGCUGGUGUUGAAGAUGUUUAUUUCUUUCCCCAGUGGAGCAAAGUGUUAUUUCUCCCCUUAGCAGAAUUUCCUCUCCGGCAGUUAGAAGGGAGUAUUUUGAUUGAUGUGCAUCUAGUUGGUGGUUGUUUCCCCCACUGAGUUUCAUAUCCUUCCUUGAUAAGCUUCCCCAGUAGAGUUUCUUCUCCGGCGGAUCUUAUUGUUAUUCAACCACCUGUCCCCGAGAGAGUGGAUGGAAACUCCCCGGCAGAUCUUUUGCAUCUUCCUUAUGUCAGGAUUGUUUGCCCCUGGGAGACUUAUCUUGUGCAGAGUGUUACCUCUUGCAGUUGGAAGCUUUGACUUUGCCUAUUCCCAGCUUUGGUUAAAGUCUCCUCUUUUUCCCGAGAUCAUCCCCACCAGAGUUGAGUUCUCCAGUAGGUUUUUCCCUUCUUGUUGAGAUGUUAUAUCGGGUGUCUGAUCGUGAAUCUUAGACUUGUUUGUGUUAGAUAUGUCUGUUUGUCAGCAUUAACCAUACACAAAUCAUGCAUAUACAUGUAUAAUCAUAGCAUUCAGAUAACCAUGUUGCAUUCUUUUCCAUAUAUCUUUGUUCGUUAUCUCCUGCUAUUGGUGAAAUGUUCUUCCCCAAGCAGAUGUUUGUGUCUGAUAUCUCCAUAUAGAGUCAUCCCCAUAGGCAGAAAGUGUCUAUCUUUCCUUCUUUCUUCCUCACUGAGUUAUGUCCUCGUGGAUGAUUCUUAUUUCAGUUUCCUCCCCAAGUGUGUAUUGGGAUGGGAAUUACUCCCCUGAGUUAUAUCCUCAUCAGGUUAAGUCUUGUUUGAUUAUGUCUUUCUAGUUUGUUCCUAGAUUGAUUCUUUUCUUGUUAUCCCAUGCAGUUCCCUGUGGUGCAGUUGUUCAAUUGCUCAGUAACCAGUAAUUGUUCAUUCUUUCCUCAGUGGAUCUUGUGGCCUUCUACCCAGUAACCGGUAGUUGUAAGUCCUACUUCUGUGGUUUUCUACCCAGUAACCGGUAGAUGUAAUCCCCUCUUUGUUGGUUAUCUUUACCCAGUAACCGGUAUUGAUAUUCCUUCGUUUUGAGUAUACCACCCAGUAACCGGUGAUAUAUCUCUUGAUCUGUGGUUUUCUACCCAGUAACCGGUAGAUGUAAUCCCCUCUUUGUUGGUUAUCUUUACCCAGUAACCGGUAUUGAUAUUCCUUCGUUUUGAGUAUACCACCCAGUAACCGGUGAUAUAUCUCUUGAGUAUUGGCUUUUGUCAGGCAGUUUAUCCCUUGCGAGUCAUCUUUCAUUUACCCUUGUUUGGUAAUGAUUGUUUCUCCAUCCUUUUGGUCAUCAUUUUAUACCCAGUAACCAGUAUCCCGGUGUCCUUUCUUUUUCGGUCGAUUUAUCCUUUAUUAACCCAAUAACCGGUUGUGGAUAAUCUUCCAUGCGAGUAUGUUAUCUAUGUUAUGACGGUAAUAGAUAAUAUAUCUCAUGCGCUCUUCAGUCGAACUCUUUUCUUCCUCAGUCGAGUAAGAUUCGUAUUUCCUUGUGGAAUCGAAUGUCCAUCCUGUAAGUCGAGUUUGUUUUUUCAGCCCUCCUUUCGGAUGAUGAGUGUCUUGGAUAUGUUCCCAAUUCACGCCUGGUUGGUCACCUAUUAUAUACCCAGUAACCGGUAUCCCUGGUGUUCCUUCCUUCUGCUCCCUAUUAUGACAGAUGAGUGUCUUGGAUAUGUUCCCAAUUCACGCCUGGUUGGUCACCUAUUAUAUACCCAGUAACCGGUAUCCCUGGUGUUCCUUCCUUCUGCUCCCUAUUAUGACUUUUGUCCCCUGUGGAGUCAGAAUUUCCUGAGUUGAGAUGUGCCUUUUUGGUCCUUCUCAUAUGUUUCAGAUGAUUGAUAUCUCUCACCCUUAUACCGGUCUUAGAUAUUCUUUCUCCCUGAGCGUGUUGUUCUCUCACCCAGUAGCCGGUGUUUUGAUGACAUGUCUCUCUUUGAGCUUAUUACCCAGUAACCGGUAAUAUCUCGUCUUUUCUUCCUCAGCUGUGUCCUUUAUGGACAUCCCCGUCUGAGUCUGGAUUUUUAUCCGAUGUAUCCUUUAUGGAUAGUUUUGCUAUAUUGGCAUAUUCCCCAAUACAUGCAUCUUUGCGUCAGCUCGAGUCUUUCCAUCGAUUUAUUUUCAUGGAAUCCUUUCGUGUCUCCCAGCAAGUUUUCAAGUCGUGACCUACUCACGCAUUUUACCUUAUUUCCCCCCCAGAGUCUCUGUCUCCCUAGUGAGUGUGUUACUCCUAUGGAUUUUUUCAGUUUCUCCGGAUUUCUUUUCCUUUGUGGCAAUUAUUCACCAUGAAGAUUUUUAUUUUGCAUCAUGAGGUCUCUUAGGGACCAAAAUUCGUCUCUUUGUUAUUAUUUAAGCUCAUUCAAUCUCGUCUAGACGAAGAUUUUAACCUUCAUAUCUCCGGCUAGAAUGAUCUUAAAUAGGGGCAUCUGUAAGACCCUAAUUUUGACCCUAAGAUCCCUCACGGCAUCAUGUUAUUGCACAAGUGCAUUGCCUCAAGGAUCAUAGCAUGUUUGGCUCCUUAACCCUAAGGGUGGGACUUGUUUGAGUGUUUUGAAACCACCAAGCAUGCUUGUAUUAUAUAUUAUUGCUUUUCUUAUUUGAUUACCAACAAAAAGCACAAAAAUAUGUCACUAACUCUUUUUGUUUUGAAGCUCAAGUGAUCAUGUGUUCCAAUGCUCCUAGGAGGCUCUUAAGCCCAAUGAAAUGGCCAGAUGAAAAUGAGGAAAAGCAUGAAAAUGGUCCCCAAAGCUCCUAAUCAUCAUAUAUGCCUCCCAAGUAUCUCAAUUUUCCAAUUUGAUCAAGAUAACCCAAAGGGCUUGAGGAUUGUUUCCCAAGGAAACCUUAAUUUCACUAUGCUUUGACCGUGCCUUGCCCAUGAAGCAAUCUCAACCUAUGAUCAAAUUUAAUCAAGGUAAAUUCUUUCUUUAAUCAUUUUAUGCAUAUAUGAGCAUAUUGGAGGCCCCUCAAUCAUUUAUUCAUCAAGAUUGGAAGUUUGGCCUUGAAAAGUUGAUCAGUCAAACUCAUCUGACUAAACUGAGGUCUAUUGAGAUACAACUUUUGAUGUAUUUGUCAAAUGAAGAUUAACCCAAGAUAAAAAAUGUUCUUAAGAACCAUAUUAACAACUUUAAUGUUCAUCAAAAAUCCAUUUGAAACUUGGAAGGUCAUCAUUCAUUUCAAAACAUUAUAGGUCAUUUUGACUGAAACCCUAACUUUGGGUCAACUUACCAAGGGAAUAACUUCCUUAAUUUUUAUGAUUUUGAGGUGAGACCAAAUUAAUUGGAAAUCUUGAGAUGUCUACUUCAAAUGUUAUGUUGGACAAAAUUUCAUAAUCCUAAAAUAAAUACAUGUGAUAAUAUAAAACAUUAUAGGUCAUAUUGGACCUAAUUCAUUGAAUUUGAAAAAGUACCCAACUUCAAAUGCCCAUAAAUUUGUCAUAGCAAAUCCAAAUGAUGAAAACUUUGAUUCCAAAUUUAUAAUCUUGAAAAGAUAUACAACUUUUAUGUUGUAGGUUUUUCCAUUUGAAGCUUGCAUUAUGAUAAUAGAGGGGUUUGAUUAGGCUUGCUUUUGGUGAAUAUUUUCAAAUGUGACUUAAACAUGUUUUGUACUUGGAUUUUCUAGACCAAUUUUCAUUAAUUUCCAAAUGCCAAAUGAAUUUUUUCCCAACAUGACUUUUGUUCCUUAUUUCAAGGGCUUUCCAACCAUUACUCACAAUGCUCAUUUGGACUUACCAUUUGGGAUUUUCGAAGACCUUUCCAUUUAUGUGCAUUUUGGUAUUUCAUGUUAUAACUUGGUAUGCAAGCUGAUUCCAUUUCAAAUGCACGUAUUACUCACAAUGCUCAUUUGGACUUACCAUUUGGGAUUUUCGAAGACCUUUCCAUUUAUGUGCAUUUUGGUAUUUCAUGUUAUAACUUGGUAUGCAAGCUGAUUCCAUUUCAAAUGCACGUCCAAAUCAUUUACAUGUGAUUCUAGAAAGAUAUUUCAUCCACCAUUGGGCCUGCUACACGCUUGCACCGGCCCAUGCAAGCAAAUUUCAAAUGCCAUGCACAUGAAAGAAGCGUGGGAUUCAGCUACCUUGAGCUAUAAAUAAAGGUUCCCUCUCAUUCAUUUGGCAACCUUUUGGAGAUCUGAAUUGCUGUAGCAUUGAAACCAUAGCCAUACCAAAGGAAUUUGAUCAAAAUUUAUCUCACUUUCGAGCUUGAAAUUCAGCAUCAUUAGCUGAUCUUCAAAGCUUUAUUCCUUAACCUUUCACUUCCACUGCAUCCCUAGAGCAAAGAGGAAUCAAGAUCUUGAAGAAAUCGUGGCCUUAAGUGCUUCAAUUCAGAGGUAUACAUUCAAACUUUUGGAUCUAGAACUCUCAUUUCAUGUAGCAUUCUUGUGUUUGUGUGGUUUUCUAAAGUCCUCAUACUUGAGGCAAGCUUGUGAUGCUUUCAAUUUUCCAUUUCAUGAACUUUCAGUUUGAACACCAUGAUCUUCCACUUCAUAUUUCUCUCAAUAUAGGAAGAGUGAGGAAGAUCCAUGGAUACAAUGGUGAUCUCCAUCACACGAGCUUCAUUUCCAUGGCUUUGUUUUUUAUUUUUAUUAAAUUUCAUUUUCCUGCAACUGGUGGCCGGAGGUUGUUGUUCCACCGGAGAAGAUGGUGGUUUCCACCACCAUCACCACGUGUGCACCUUCACAGCCCUUGGAUUUGGUUUUCACGUUUUAAUCGUGUGCAUCCAUUGUAUUUACUUCAUUUAAUACCUUAUAUGGCGCGUAUCACUUGGAUGUAGCGUGUUCUCCAUGAUCUGAACCAUUCAGCCUUGCCACGUCAAUUGAUGAAUCCAUCCUAUGGCGCUGGUUUUUUCCAUUAUUUCUAUUUUCAUUUUAUUUUGAGUUAAUUCCAUUUAUUUUCAAAAAUUCAUAAAAAAUUCAUUUGAAGUCAUAAGAAUAUGAGACCGAUUCCAAAAAAUUUCUUGAAAAAUCUAGUUUCAUAUUUUGAUUUUUAAUUAUUUUUGUGACUUCAUUUGAUAUUUUUCAUGAAUUAUUUGAUUUUUAAUAGUUUUAAUUCAUUUUAAAAUACUUUCUGGCUUUUGAAAAAUCCAAAAAUAUUUUCGUAGCAUUUAUGGAUCAUGAAAAAUAGUCUCAUCAAUUUCUUAUUUGAUUUGAGAUUUAUUUGAGAUUUUAGUCUAUUUUAUGCUAUUUUUAGUUGUUUUUAAUUGUUUUUAAAUACUUUCUGGUUUCAAAAAUUUGUGAGAAAAUUAGUCAAAGUUUGUUUGACCAUGUUGGACCUAUGAGAAUUUAAUUGGACUUGUUGAAGUUGAUUUGAAUUGAAUUUGAGGUUUGACCUUAUUUGUUUAUUUUUUAUUUGCAUUUUAUUUUAAUUCAAAAAAUACCAAAAAAAUAUUGUUGACUAACUUGUUGAAGUUGAUUUGAAUUGAAUUUGAGGUUUGACCUUAUUUGUUUAUUUUUUAUUUGCAUUUUAUUUUAAUUCAAAAAAUACCAAAAAAAUAUUGUUGACUUGUAAUCUUCAUUUCUUUUCUAUUUGGUGUUGAUUGAUGUUGGUUUGAUCCACAUUUGAUCAAUUGGAAUUGAUUGAUGUAUUCUUUUCCCCUCCCUUUCAUCUUCAUCCCAUUAUUUCCAUCAAUGGCCAAUGAGUUAAGUUCUUAUGGUUGGUCUUGACAAAUGAGAGGUUUAACCUUCUUUGAUCCAAACCAAACUCAACUUGAUCCAUGAUUAAGUGAGUUGUUUUGUGUCCAAGAUAGGUUGCCUCUUGGUCAAGCAAAUAACCUAAAGAAAAUACAAGGCACUUCCCAUUUUGUUUUGGCAUGGAAAGUUUAUGGAGCUUGGCUUACUAGUCAUGAUCUCUAACUUGUGUUCUUUGCCUAUAUUUUUAUUGACCGGCCUCAGAUAGGUGAUCUGAGCAACUAUGCCUAAAGGAGUUCAAGAGCAACUAUGCCUCAUGCUUAUGGAGCUUGGCUUACCUAUGCUUAAAUGAGAUCAAGAGCAACUAUGACUCAUGCCUUUAGAGUGCUAAAUUGGUUGAAAAGCAACUAGGCAUCAUGCCUUUAGAAUGCUAAAAUUCCAAGUUGAUCUCAAAAGGACUUCUCUUCAAAACUUAUUCUUUGUCCAUUCCCCUUAUUGUGUUGUGAACUUUUUGAUGUUUGUUUGUGUGUGAUAGGGAUCCCACUUUGAGAUUGUGAAAAGAGGACCAUUGUCAUGAGUAACCAAGUUAAGAGACAAGUCAAAUGGAGAUCCUAUGAGCUUGAAUGCGAAUUAUUGAUUGCUUGUUUAUGUGUUAAGUCCAAAGGAAAUGAGCAUCUUGAAUCAUCUCUAUGAUUCCAAGAAAAGGAACUCCAAGGGUUUAUCUUUCCCUCUCUUAUCUUUGUAUGCUUUAGGACUAGCCCUUCUCUUCUUCUCCCCACUCUAACCAAGCCAAAAUCUUUUUCUUCAAACUUUGACUUUGUUUCAAAUUAGAAACCUAGGCCUUAAGCCUUUGACUACUAACCAAGCCAAAAUCUUUUUCUUCAAACUUUGACUUUGUUUCAAAUUAGAAACCUAGGCCUUAAGCCUUUGACUUUUCAAAACCAUUUUCAUCAAUACUCAUUGUGAAUAAAUCUUAAUCCAACUAUGACUUCAUUUUGUAAAUAAAUCUAACUUGUAAAUAUAACCCAUUUCAAGUUGUUUUGUGGUUCCAAUGGCCACUUGUUAAAACUUUUCAUAAACAUUAGUCAUAGGUUUGAGUUAUCAUAGUGGUUAAUGUAAAUCUCACCUCAUCCUUAGUGAUUGGAUUAUAAGUCUUCCAUGCUUAUUAUAGGGUUAACCACUCACUAGCAUGUUGAAGCCUUCCUCACAUGGUGGAUUGUUGGUUUAGGUUUAGUUUUCUCCCUUUGAUAACAAAAGACCUUAAGGCUUUUGAUCAAAUCAAUUCACCAAUCUUUGAGAUUUUUACCCCGAACUACGAGAUUUUGAUCCUCCUUUGUGAUGGUACGUAGGCAAUGGAUUCAUACAUUCAAACAACAAAUUUGUAAAUAUAAUCUAUUCUCUUCUCACCCCCCCAAUCUUUUGGUACAAAUAUUUUCACAAAUACCAACCUACAACACAUAUUUGCAAAAAGGGUUCCCUUAGAAUACUAAGGAUGUUUUGGGUGCGUAAAACCUUCUCAUUUCAUAACCAACCCCCUUACCCAGAUCUCUGACAUUUUUAUUAGUUUUUGAUUUGAUUUUGAAGAAUGGAACCGAAAACAAGCGAAAAAUCCCUUUCCUUUGGACAAAUAAAAGUGCGGUGGCGACUCGAAUUGUAUGUUUACUUUUGGUUUAGUCAAUAAACCUAAAGGUAACAAAAACCCCACUACAAUAUUCAAUGUAGCCCCUUUUCCAUGUAAAUUACCAUUUUUUAACUUUUGUAAAAGAUCUAUGGGGUCUUGUCAUUUACAGACUACCAUCCUAUUAAAUAAAGUUGAGCUUUUUAUCCAAUUGUUUCUACUCUUAUUUAUUUCAGCUAAAUAGAUUUAAAAUUUUAUGAUGAUUAUAUUGAAAUUGAAUUUAAAUCAUGUUUUCUUAAAAUAAUAAAAGCAGUUACUUUUUAAAUCGAUUUCAUUUAAGGCAUAUCAAUAGUGGUCUGAGAGCAGUAGGCCCUAAAUGAGAAGCAUUAUUGGUUUUCCCCAAGCAAUUGGAGUGAGCUUUGUUUCCUCUCCAGCAGUGUUUCAGCAUCGCCAACCGAGUUUUGUUGGUAUCCCCAGCUGAGUUUGUGAAUGCAUCCCUCGAGUUGUAGGCACGUUGUCUCAGCAAAUCAUUGUUUCCCUCAAGUCUCCAAUGGAUUCCAUUCAGCAUGGAUUCUAGAGCAGUUAUCUGAUCCUCUGUAAGGUUGUCUCCCCGUUUGAUAUGGUGUUGACCUAAAAUUCCCCGCAGAGUUGAUAGUGCAGAUUUUCGGCAGAUCUUUUCCUUUUCCCCAGCCAAGGUUGAGCCUUUGAGAUAGAUGAUCUGCGUUCAUCCUUUACCUCUCUUUCUCCAAUUGGUUACCUCCUGUGAGGAUGGGCUGAGUGUUGUAUUGGUGAUGCAGACCAGUGACAUUUGUAUCCUUUGCGAUCGUUUUGUCGGCAUAAUCAUCAUAUAUACAUAUACAUAUACAUUCAUAAAUUUCAUUAUUGCAUUAUUAUUUGCACUUUGUGAUUCAUUAUUUCUCUUAUCCUCUGUUGUGGUGGUAUCCUUUCCCCCACGCAGAUUUGGUGUGUCUGUCCUCUUUCAAUUGUAGAGUGUCAGCCCCUUAAGCGGAAAUAAUUUUACCUUUCUCAUUCCCCACUGAGUUAUUUCCUCGUGGAUAAUUAUUUCAGCUUCCUCCCCAGUUGAUUAUCUGGAUGGAACCACUCCCCCUGAGUUAUAUCCUUAUCGGGUUGAGUCCUUGAUUAACCUUUUCUUUCUAGAUCUUACCUAAAUAGAUGCUUUUGGUCCCCUGAGAGUCUAUUACCCAAUAGUGGGUAAUACUCUUCUCGAUUUGUGAGUACUUUACUUUUUCCCAAUACCCGGUAAAAGUAAUAUAUUUCCUCUUUCUCCCAGCAGAUUCGUUUUCAUGUUUCUCCAGGAAGUCUAUCCUUGAUAUGUUCAUCCUAACCGAUGACAGAUAUUUUCUUCCCCUGCUUCGAGUCUAUCCUUGAUAUGUUCAUCCUGAUCGGUGACGAAUAUUCUCUCCUUGUGGUAUUCUACCCAGUAAAACGGUAGUUGUAAUCCCUAUUUCUUUCCCCAGAGGGUUAACCCUUGAUAUGUUCAUCCCAAUUAAUUACGGGUUUUCUCCUCUUUGUGGUCUUCUGCCCAGUAACUGGUAGUUAUAAAUCCUGUUUCCCCUUGCGGAGUCUAUCCUUGAUAUGUUCACUUUAACCAGUGAUGGAUAUUCUCUUCUUUGGUAUUCUAUCCAAUAACAGAUAGAUUUGAUUUCUGUUUCUCCCCUCUGAGUUUAUCCUUGAUAUGUUUACCCUAACCGGUAAUGGAUAUUCUUCCUAAUUCCUCAGGUGUUUUAUCCUUGAUAUGUUCAUCUUAAUCGAUGACGGAUAUUCUUCCUUUGAUUUUAUCCUUGAUAUGUUCACUUUAAUCAGUGACAGAUAUUCUCUCUUUUUGGUCUUCUGCCCAGUGACCGGUAGUUGUAAAUCCUAUUUUGGCUUUUCCCCAGCUGGUUAUUCUUACCCAGUGACUGGUAAUGAAUAUACCUCCGAGAUGCCCUCAGCGAGUCAUCCUUGAUAUGCUUACACUAACCGGUAACAGAUGUCCUCCCUUCCAGAUUUGUUAUUACCUUAUCCAGAAACCGAUAGUGGAUAAUACAUUUAUGUUACUCCUGUGUUGAAGAUCAUUUCUUCCCCGGUUGAGUUUGAGUGCGUAUUUCCUCAGUGAGAUCGUUGUUUCCUGCUUGGGUUGAGUAUUUCAACUUUGUUCUGAUCUACCUGUUUCCCCUGCAAAUGUUCCUUUUAUUCCCCGACUGAGUCUUUCCAUUGAUUUGUUUUCAUGGAAUCCCUCGUGUCCCCCUAGCAGUUUUAAGUCGUAGCCUGGCCUACGCGUAACUUUUAUCCCCUAGAGUCUCUGUCUCCCCAGUGAGUUUUCCUUAUGGAAUGCAUUAUGCUCUUGCGGACUUUCAGUCUCUCCAGAUUCUUUUCCCUUGUGACAAAGUUUUCCCCACAAGAUUAUUUUUAGCAUUCAUAUCAUAUGCAUCACAAGGUCUCUUAGGGACCAAAAUUUGUUUCUAUAUGUUGUUAUUUAAGUCCAUUCUACUGAGUCAAUACGAAUAUUUAACCUUCAUCUCCUCAGUUAGAACGUCCUUAAAUAGGGGCAGCUAUAAGACCCCAAUUUUGACCCUAAGAUCCCUCAUGUUAUCUCAUCGUAUGCAUUAGCAUUGAGAUCACACCUUGGCAUCCUCCUUACCCCUCUUUCAUUGGGGUUGCAUUGGGAGAGAUCACCAAGCAUAUUUGAUUGUAUCAUGCUUCAUUUUUCUUUAUUUACUAACCAAAAUACCAAAAAUAUGUCAUUGUAUAGUUUAACUCUUUUGUAGGUAGUGCACAGGCCCACCUAUGCUCUAUCAAGCUCAUAUAUAGGAUUUGAGACCCUCAAUACAAGGAGCUCAAUCAAGAAAUGAUUUACUGUGGCUCUAAGUAUCAUAUAUGGGUCCCCAUGAUCUUCAUAUGUUAUUUUGAUCAAGAGAUCAUCAAGAGUUGGGAAUUGAUUUGCCUUGGAAACCCUAAUUCAUCUAGGUAUCUUGUGUGACUUCUUCAACAAGUUUCCUUAAUAAUUGAUCAAAUAUUUAAAGUUACACUUCAAAUUACACCAUCUUAUGCAUAUAUGAUCCUCCAUGAGUCUCAAAGAUCAAUAAAACUUCAAGUUUGCAAGUUGGUUUAAGGUGGUUGACCAGUGAAAGUCAACUAGCCAAAACUGGGGUUCCCUAUAUCCUACAAUUUUUGUCAUAUGAAAAUGAUUCCAAGAUUAAAGUUACUCUAAAUGACAUUCCAAAAAACUUUCAUGUUGAGUUCUAGAGAAAAUUUUGCUUGGAAAGUCAUUUUUUAUGGUGAAAGAUUAUAGGUCAUUUUGUCUAAACCCUAGCUUGGAGGUCAACUUCCCAAGGCCAUAAAUUGCUCAUUUUUUAUGAGAUGAAAGCCAUUCAAAUUUCAUGAUCAAAUUCAAGAGGUCUACUUAAAAUUUUAUGUUUGGAGGAAGUGCAAAUUCAACUUGCAAAUUCAUGUGCCAAGAGGAAACAUUAUAGGUCAUUUUGGACCAUUACCAUUGAACAAGUGAUUUUCCUCAACUUCUAAAAUGCAUAACUCCUUCAUGCCAAAUCAAAAUAAGGUCAUAUUUGUGACCAAAUUGAAUAGGUUUCAAAUAUAUACAACUUUUAUGAAGGAACUGUUCUCAUUUGAAGCCCAUAGAAAAAGAUAUUUAAGGUGGAAGAAGUGAACAUUUGACUUGGGACUUAGAAACUUUUCAAAUAUGUUUGAUUUCCCAAACUUCCACCUCAAAAUUAAUCAUGAUCCAAGCUUCAAAUGAAAAAGUAUUCAACAUGAAAGUUGUUCCCCUUGAUCUCACCUUUCCAAAACAUCCAAGAUCAUCUCAUUUGGACUAAAAUUGAAGGACUUGCGCAUGGUUUCAUUAUGGGAAGUGUUUUGGCAAGAUUGAACUUCACAUGAUCAUUUUCAUUUGCAUGCUUACACAUGAUGGUUUCAGCAGACUUUGUACAUGAUUUGGAGUUGGAUUGCAUCACUCUUGAGGCCCAAAUGAUUGCCCAUGCACCCAUGCAAGUUAAUUACUAUUUUUUUCCAAUUUUUAAGUGGUGUAAAUAUCAAACACAUUGUCUAUUUAAACAAGCUUAAGGCUUCAGAUUCAUGAUCAACACCUUGCCCAAGCAUUGCUAGACCUCUGCAAACCCUCACUACCAUAGAAUUUUUUGAGAUUUCUCUUGAAAUCGAGCUUGAACUUCACCUUCUGUUUGGAAGUUCAAACUCUAGAAAUUCACUUCCAUUUUCAGUUCAUUUGGUUUCUGCAAGCAAGAGGAGGAGAAAGCAAUCAAAUCUAGAUCAAGAUCAAGUCAAAUUGGAUCAACUCGAAGGUGAAUUUUCAGAAACUUCCACUCUUUGAUUCUCUCUUAUUUCUCCACUAUUCUUGUUGAUUUUUGGUUAUCUGAAGUCCUACCAAUGUAGGCAACAAGAUUGAGUUGCUUUGAGGUUAAAUCGAAGCAACUUAGUUCAUGAUCCUCAAAAUUCAACUCCAUGUAUCUUCUCAUAUACUUGGAGUUAGACAAAAUUGAGGCCAGAUUCGAGCUCCUGAGCAUUUUUUCUUUAAAUCCAUGUCUUGCUUUUUUAUUUUGGUGAUGGUUGAAGGUGGACCAGUCCGGUGAGGUCCACCGAAGAAGAAGAUCAGAGCUCUGGCUCCGGUGAUAUGUUGGCAAGCUUCUCAACCAUAGGAUCCAUUUAAAUUAUUUUAAUCUUAGGCGUUGAUUGUGAUUACCACGUGUGCUGCUCAGUUAACUAAAGAACACAUGGAACAUGCCUUUGAACCAUCUGAUCUUCCACCUCAAUUAAUGAGGGAGAUCAGAUGGUCCACAUAUUUUUGAAUUCCUGAAUUUUCAUUUUUAUUGCUUUAUUUUCAUUAAUUCAUAUUAAUUUCAUUAUUGAUCCAAAAAAUAUGGGACUUUCACCAAAAAAAUUCAAAUAUUUUCCUCUUUCAUUUUAUGAAUUAAAAUUAUUUUUUAGAUCAAUAUUGAUAUUUUUCAUGAUUUAAUUGUUUUUGUGCAUAUUUUAAAUUGUUUAAAAAUACUUUGGACUUUUUAAAAAUAGUGAAAUUUUUUCUCCAAUGUCCUUUGACCUUGUUUGACCUAUGAUAAAUCUCUUGGCCAUUUAUUUGGUGUUUUGAAUAGGUUUUAGGUUUUUGGUAAAACAUAAUUUAAUUUAAUGCAUUUUUAAUUUGUUUAAUUGAAAUAAUUUGUGUUGAGCCAUUUUUAUUGACUUAUGGAGUUUGACUAUUGUGUUUGGGCCUUGGUCAAGGUUGAUUUGACUUUUGUUGGAUUAAAAUCAUUGGAUUUAAGGGAUUGAUGAAAUAUACAUUUCAUCUCCCAAAAUGAAUGAAUGAUUUUAAUUUGAUGAAAUUCCUCCCAUGACCAAUUUGUGUUUGUCUCCUUUCCCCUCCCUCUUCAUAUUCAAUCCCUAUUUAUCUCACUCCUCUCAUUGGUCAAUUACAUCUCAAUAUCCUAAGGCUAAUCGGUUCAUGAACCAAUACAAGUAUGGAUGAGAUUAGGUCCAUCCUUUGAUCAUUUUCUUUUUGUGUGUGGUAUGUUUUAGGAGUAUGGUUCAUCAUGUCAUAUCUCUAACAUGCAUUAACACCAAAAAAUUUAGUGUCCGACCUCAGAUAGUUGUGACUUCUACAUAAGUCAAAUUACGAUUGCUUAACAUAUCGCUAAAUUUUGACACAAAAUGCAUAGCAUUCUAGUAAGUGAAAUUGUAAGUCUCCCCUUUUUCAUGGUAUUGUGUGGAAACUUGGCCUUUUUUCCUUCCUUUGGAAGAUGUCCUGGUUCAAGGAUCCAUGCUUGUGAGUAGAGGGUUGAGUAUUCUCCAAAGAAUGACUUAAAAAGUUGAAAAGAAAAACUCCACUAACAUCUAAUCAACUAACCUUUGACUAGAGGGUUGAGUGUUCUCCAUAAUUGAUUUAAAUUUCAAGUCAUUUACUUUAUGCCAUUUAAAUUCAAGUCAUUUACCAUUUGCCAUUAUACAUAUCAUUUAACUUGUUUAUUUUAAUGUAAUUUUCCCUUUGCUCACUUGAGCCAUAUAUUGUGAUUGUAUAUAUUUGUUUGUAUUAUUUUGGUUGAGCUUGUGGUCUUAGGACCUUAAAAUACUUAAUAAACAACAAAAACCCUAAAAAAUAUUUGUGUGGACUGUUGGAUUUGAUAUGAGCUUUGGACUUAGAAUUAGGCAACAUUUCCUAUGCAAAAGGACUUGGCCAAUGCCAACAUUUUUGAAACCAAGUCAUUGUGACGUUGAGCUUUCAUCUGAUACAAGUAUUGGGAUCCACAUGAGUUCAUCAGCUACAUGGUCUUGAUGCAGGUGUUACUUUGAACCUGUGUCUAAUGCCUUAUUCUGAGCCAUUCAUGGAGUAUGUCAUCUGAUACAUGGGGAAGAUUAUGAAGAAGAUUAUGAAGUUGCUAGCUUGGAUGUGGAUAUCUUUAUUUGAUGCCUUGCUCUUCAUCUUGCUAUUUGUGUAUUGAUAUUUCUUGAUCCUAAAGUCCAAGGGAAAAAUGGGUUUCUAUAUGACAUUCUUGUCUAUUGGAUUGUAUCCCAUUGGUCAAAUAUUUUCAACUCUUAACUUUUAAAUUUUUGCUUAGGAUUAGCCUCUUCAUUUCCUCUCACUUCUUAAAUUUCAAAUUUCUCCCUCUUUUCAAAAACCUUCUUUGCUUGUGAUUUCUAAACUUAGACUUUAUUCCAAAUUAGAAACUUUGACCUUAUGUCAUUGCAUUUUUAAACUCUUUUCUUAAAUCAAACUUGUGAAUAAAUCUAAUCAUAUUGACUUAAAGUUUCAAAAGACAAAAAGAACUAACACUCAUUCAAACUCUUUUAGGCCCUUUGUGCCUCCUUUAAACUUAAAUUUUUGUUAAAAGCAAUUCACUCACUUUAAAAUUGAUACCAUGAACUACGAGGUUUUGAUCCCUCAUUUUUAUGUUGGUACAUAGGCAUAAGUCCGGAGGUCUUGUCAAACACAAAAAUAUAAUCAAUGAAUUCUUUUCUCAUCCCCACACUCUAUUUAUUGCAAGCAUCAUUUUAUACCAAAAAUACAUACACACAUAAAAAAGGGCUCUCUAGGAGUACCUAGGACACUUUGGGUGCUAACACCUUCCCUCUGUGUAACCAACCCCCUUACCUGUAAUCUCUGGCAUUUUAUUAGUUUUGAUUUGAAAACUUCUUAUCUUUGAGUUUUGCUCGUACUUUUCUCUUUUCCCUUGGAAACAAUAAAAGCGCGGUGGCGACUCUGAUUUUAUUGACGUUAAGUUUAUCCAUAGCUUAAUGGUCAUGAAUUUACCGCUACAGUCUGCACGGGAAAAUAUUUCAUUUUAAUAUGCAAUUGAAAGAAAAUAGAAAUAUAGACGAAAUGAACGUAAUGUAAUAGAUAUAACAUUAAUAAAAUCACAACAAAGCAAAAUAUGCAAGUCGAUAAAAACUUCAUAAUAUUUUGAUGAGUUUGAAUAAUAAAAUUAUUAUGUGUCCAACAAAGGAAAUUAAAAACUAAAGUUGUAAUAGUUAUGCAUAAACAAAUGAUACUUGAGGAAUUGGUAGGAUCAAUUGUAGACAUGACAUAACCUAUAAACAUGUUUAAAUAAAGGUGAAUUAAUGAUUUACGAUAAUAAUGGCAGAAAAAAUAUUAAUGUGAUUUAAAAAAAAUAUUAAUAAGCAGAAAAUUAAAGUUACCUAUAUGAUGUUAUGAAAAAAUUCUUUAAAGACAACAUUUGUUGUUUGAAAUAAGGAUUUGUUGUCUUUGUCAUGUAUCAAGAUUUUCAAUCCAGCUUUGCUCUUAACUCUUGAAAUAGCCACAUAUAGUUGUUCGUGGCUGAAAACAUUCUUGGGGAAAUAUAAACCGACAUAGUCCAAUGAUUUACUUUGAGAUUUGUUGAUUGUCAUAGUAAAUGACACAAUAAUUGGGAAUUGUCGUCUGAUAAGUUUGAAUGGCCAUGGAGAUUGAUAAGGAGACAAAUACAUUUUUGGGAUGUAAAUAGUGUUUCCAAUAUUUACUCCUGAAAUAAUUGUUGCUCCGAUUACAUGGUUGACCAACUUAGUAACUCUCAAUCUUGUACCAUUGCAAAGUCCUUCUGAUUGAUCCAAAUUCCUUAUCAACAUGAUGGUUGUGCCAAUUUUCAAUUUAAUUGAGUGGUUUGGCAAUCCAUAAGUUUUUAGACAACUCAAAAAUUAUGGUGUCAAAUGCUCAAAAGCAUCGUUAUCGUUGGCUUCUGAUCUAUCAAUGGAAUCACAACUCAAAUAUUCUUUUGAGUCACUUAAAUUAAAAAUGAAUGAUGCUUAAUGUCUCAAAGUUAAACAUCAUGAAACUAUAAAUGCAUGACAUACCAAAUGUUAUGCUAUGUAUUUACCGUAUGAAACUAUAAGCAUGUAAUUUAUAAGUAUCAUUUUGCAUAGUAAACUAUUCAUCAUAUGUUAUCGUUUAAAACCGGAUGACAUAUAUAAUGCACAACUGAUUAUGUUGUUAAAACAUUGUAUAACCAAUAUAAUAUUUAUGCACAGUUUCUCAUAGAAUGUUGUUGCACUUUUUGUUAUAACACUAAGGAAUAGAAUAUAUAUGCAACAAUUCUAUGAAUAGAUUUACAUAUGCAUGACAUAGAAUACUUUAUCCACUGUUUAUGAUUCAAAAGUGCAACAAUAUUUGUAUUUGUAAACAAUAUAAUAUUUUAGGGUACAUAACAAAACAACAUACCUACAUAUGCAUGUAUCAACAAUUUUAUCUAAUUUUGAAACUAAGAUUGUAUCUUUUGCUAUCAAAAUUUAAUAUACAUGAACUAAAAUGUUAUAUUAUAUCUGUUUUAGUUCUACAUGACAAUGUAUUACAUUUGUUACAUUGUAAUAUGUUUUAUACCAGUUUUGGGGGAAAUAUAUUUUAUAACAACGAUGACAGUGUAUUACAUUGCUUAAAGUAUUAUAGUACUAUCAAAAUGUUGUAAUACAAUUUAUAUUAGUUAAAGUAUUAUAUUCUAAUUUACAAACCAAUGACAAUAUAUUAUAUUGCUUAUAACGGAACUUUAAAAAUAGUAUAAAUCAGAAUGAAGAUAUACCUUGAAGAAGAUUUGUAAUGUAGUCGUUAAUGUCAUCGACUAUUUCAAUAAUUGAUGCCAAAAUAGCUCUACAUUGAAGAAAAUCUGAAUUUGUGUAGUUUUGAAUGAGAUUUGGAUAAGUACUUGUAAUAAUAGCUUCAAUUGGGUCCACAAAAUCUUUAAUGAUUAAAUCUUUUGGAAUAAGUAUCUCAGCAUAUCCAUCACUGGGUUCAAAUUUUUUUUCAUUUCCAACUUGUAAAAUCCAUUCAGAGAAUAGUCGAAUUUCUUCGAAAUUGACUAAAUUUGAGCCACUUUGCAACCACAUAUUUUUUGUUAGAUUAAGAACUUUGCAAUGAUCCAAAAUAUAUGAGGCAUUUAUUGUAGAAUGCACAAUAUCAGACCUACUACCUCUUGGUACAACGGGUAGAAUUUGUCUGAAGUCUCCACCAAAAAUAACAACUUUACCUCAAAAAAUUUGGUUACAUGGACCUUUAUCAUCACUCAUUAUAUCCUUCAAUGACUUCUUAAGAGCUUCAAAAUAAAAUUUAUUUUCCAUAGGUGCUUCAUCCCAUAUAAUGAGUUUUGUGACUUUUAAGAGAUUAGCUAAAUCAAAUUUCUUCUCAAUGUUACAUAUGGAAGAUUCAAGACAUGGAUCUGGAAUUUUGAAUUUGGAAUGUGAUGUUCUCCCUUCUGGUAACAAUAAACUUGUUAUCCCGUUUGAUGCCACAUUCAACACAAUAUCUCCUUGACAACGAAGAACAACAGAAAGUGUAUUCCAUAUGAAAGUCUCUCUGGUGCCCCCAUAACCAUAUAAAAAAAUACUCCACCUUUUUGGUUUGUGACGACUUCCAUGAUUUCUCUAUAAAUGCUAAGUUGUUCUUCUACAAUAAAAAAUAAUAUGUUUUCAUUGGAAUUAUUCAGAAGUCAUAAAAUUAUAUAUGCAAUAUGAACAUGCGUAGUCAUAUAAAGACGACACACUAGAAUAAGGACAACACACUGAAUUGAAUGAUAGAGUAAUGGAAAAAAAUUAUUGCAAGGAAGUGUAAAUAAAAAAUAGAAAUACCUGUUAAUGAUUGAAACAAAUUUUGGUAAAUAUCUUUUUGAGCCGAAAUAUCAUAUUGUCUUUCAUCAUAUAUCAAUUUAUUUCCAAGAAAGUCCAAGACAUAAUUUGAUGGAUAUGGUAUUAGUUUAAAUUCUUUUAAACUUCUUCUAUUUUUUUGAAGUUGUUUCUCAACUUCCAUCAAUGUGAGUUGUUGGAUAUCUUCAUCUGACAAAUAUAAUUCUACAAAUAAUGUUAAGAGCAAAGUAAGUUACCAAAAAUUAGAAAUCCAUAGAUUUGGGAAGAAAAUUCUAAAGUAAUGUGAAUUGUAAACAUGUCGUAUAUAUAGUAAAAUGGGCACAAUAACAGUAGUAUAAACAUGUUAAUUGAAAAGGGUAAAUAAAAAAAUAUGAAUUGUAAAGAUGAGCAGUAUAUAGAAUUUUUUUACAAAAAAGUAAAAUUGAAGGGAUAAAGUAUAAAUUUAUAAUAACCUGAAUUUUGUGACAAUCUUCUUUGUUCAUAUAGAAUGACAUCUGAUAAGUAUAUCCAAGUCUUUUUCCAAACAUGCUCAAGUCGAUUCAUUGAAGGUGACAACAACAUUGUCACAAAAAGUUUGCGCAAAAAAACUCCAAAACCCCAAUUGUAAGCCUCUUUAUUGCCUCAUUGUACUCUUUCUCAUCUUCUAGGAAACCCAAUGCAAAACAUGCGUCUCUAAAGGUAUUGUGUUUGAAUCCCUCAAUUGUCUUCAAAUCAUCAUAACAAGUUGGCCCUUUCUUCACAGUCAACAAUAUCCUCAUAUAAUACAACUCACCAGUUGUUAGAGGCACCCAAAUUAGUCGGCCAAUGGUGUAACCUCUUUUCCGUGGUUUCCAACACCUCUUUCUCCUAUCAUAAACAAAUUUGGAUACAAAUUGAUCAUAUGUUAAUAGUUUUGCUUCUUCAUACUCACUAUUUGCCACAAACCAGGAUGUAAACAUUGACUCUGUGACACUUGGUUUAAGAAGGACAUUCCCAAUUUGCUCAAAGUCUUUGUACUAUACAGAAUUCUCCCCCUCCAUGUGAAAAAAACAAUCUUUCAACUGCUGGUUUUCGACCAUGACUUGAAUAAGAGAAUAUUUUCCAGCAUGCUUCGCUUGGUGAUACAUAACGACAAUCUAGGUAUUGUUUGAUUUCAUCAAUUUUUUCAUCAGUAUGAGAGUUAUUUGGAAUAAUCACUCUUGAGAUUCUAUCAGAACCCUUGUUUAUGUAUUUGAAAAGAUAUUUGAUAGAAGUACUUUGAUUGCACCACUCCAUAUUAAUGUGUGCCUCAUAUUUCAUCAACAAAUUUGGGUUGUGGGGGACAACAUGACCACUAUGAAGUGUGAUUCCAUUUUUUUUCAAUUGUAUUCCCUUGAUCUCUCCUCCUAUAAACUGAAUAUCCAAUCAAAAUUAUCCCAAUUUAAUCAUUCAAUACAAAAUAAUUCUUUCACAUAUCCCAUUCAAACCCUUUUUUUUCAUCAUUUUCAAACUUCUAAACAAAAUCUUAAUUUAAUUAUAUAUCUACAAGAUUGAAAGUCAACUCUAACACUCAUCUUAUUUUAUUAAGUUAAUUAUAUACUCAAUCACAUAUCUUUAAAUUUAUUAAUAUUUAUUUUAAAUUUUAAUAUUAAAAAUUCACAAACAAUUAAUGUGAAACAAUGAACUAUGCCUGUUAGGCUGUUACUAUGACUAUGAGACUAAGGUGUAAUAUUUAUUUCUCAAAUGAUUUGUAAACAAAAUAUAGACAACACCACAUCAUCAUAGAACAAUCCACAUCGGAUAACGGGAGGCGCGUGAAACAAACGAACCACCAUAACAGUAAAAAAACGGACAUAUCUUAUGUCAAGUGAAUACACAACAACGCAACACUCACUAACUCUUAAUUUUGUAUCCAAAUAUCCUGAAAAAUAAAAAACAAACAAAUCUACACAAAUGAUGAACAAGAAAGUCACAAUAAUAAUAAAAAGCCGAAAAGAAAGGAAAAAAAAAAACAAGAUCCACCUCGAACCUCUCUCCACUCUCCCACUACAUUCCAAUCCAAUCACAAUCACCCUCUCUUCUCUCACAACAACAACAACACCACCACUAUCCUCACCCCCUUGUUGUCUCCCAAACCCCAUCCCCAAUUAUCACUCUCUAUAAUCCUUCAAUCAAAUUCCACAAAUUGAUUCUCUCUUCACCACCACCACCAUCACCACCACCACCGCCUUGAACAAAACCAGUGCUUGAUUCAUCACACACAUACACCGAACUCUGUGUGUGUCAGAUUUUGAGAAUCCAAUAAUGAGAGAAGACGAUUCAAAUUGGUUUUCACGAUGGGAAGAACAACUACCUCCACCGGAAGAACUCAUGCCUUUAUCACAAACCCUAAUCACUCCUGAUCUCGCUAUAGCUUUCGAUAUCAGAAACCCUCACACCACGAACACUAUCAACGCUAAUCCGCAACACCAACAACAUCAUCAACAACAACAGCAACAACCUCCACCUUCUU
rnacentral:lncRNA from 1 species